GAUGAACGCUGGCGGCGUGCUUAACACAUGCAAGUCGAACGAAGCACUUUAUUUGAUUUCCUUCGGGACUGAUUAUUUUGUGACUGAGUGGCGGACGGGUGAGUAACGCGUGGGUAACCUGCCUUGUACAGGGGGAUAACAGUUGGAAACGGCUGCUAAUACCGCAUAAGCGCACAGCAUCGCAUGAUGCAGUGUGAAAAACUCCGGUGGUAUAAGAUGGACCCGCGUUGGAUUAGCUAGUUGGUGAGGUAACGGCCCACCAAGGCGACGAUCCAUAGCCGACAUGAGAGGGUGACCGGCCACAUUGGGACUGAGACACGGCCCCAACUCCUACGGGAAGCAGCAGUGGGGAAUAUUGCACAAUGGGCGAAAGCCUGAUGCAGCGACGCCGGGUGAGCGAAGAAGUAUUUCGGUAUGUAAAGCUCUAUCAGCAGGGAAGAUAAUGACGGUACCUGACUAAGAAGCACCGGCUAAAUACGUG
rnacentral:rRNA from 1 species